rnacentral:rRNA from 1 species
GAUGAACGCUGGCGGCGUGCCUAAUACAUGCAAGUCGAGCGAACAGAUAAGGAGCUUGCUCCUUUGACGUUAGCGGCGGACGGGUGAGUAACACGUGGGUAACCUACCUAUAAGACUGGGAUAACUUCGGGAAACCGGAGCUAAUACCGGAUAACAUCUGGAACCGCAUGGUUCUAAAGUGAAAGAUGGUUUUGCUAUCACUUCUAGAUGGACCCGCGCCGUAUUAGCUAGUUGGUAAGGUAACGGCUUACCAAGGCGACGAUACGUAGCCGACCUGAGAGGGUGAUCGGCCACACUGGAACUGAGACACGGUCCAGACGCCUACGGGAGGCAGCAGUAGGGAAUCUUCCGCAAUGGGCGAAAGCCUGACGGAGCAACGCCGCGUGAGUGAUGAAGGGUUUCGGCUCGUAAAACUCUGUUAUUAGGGAAGAACAAAUGUGUAAGUAACUGUGCACGUCUUGACGGUACCUAAUCAGAAAGCCACGGCUAACUACGUG